rnacentral:pre_miRNA from 1 species
AAUGGAAUUGCUGGGUCACAUGGUAGUUCUAGGUUUAACUUUUUGAGGAACUACCAAACUGUUUCCCACAGUGGCUGCACCAUUUUACAUUCCCACCAGCAAU